rnacentral:rRNA from 1 species
AGCAGAUGGCUCUGCUGAGCCGCACUACGCACACGGCGAGUGAAGCAGCAAUAGCUCAAAUUUGAAAUCUGGCGUCUUCGACGUCCGAGCUUGUAAUUUGUAGAGGAUGCUUCUGAGUAACCACCGACCUAAGUUCCUUGGAACAGGACGUCAUAGAGGGUGAGAAUCCCGUAUGCGGUCGGAAAGGUGCUCUAUACGUAGCUCCUUCGACGAGUCGAGUUGUUUGGGAAUGCAGCUCUAAAUGGGAGGUAAAUUUCUUCUAAAGCUAAAUAUUGGCCAGAGACCGAUAGCGCACAAGUAGAGUGAUCGAAAGAUGAAAAGCACUUUGGAAAGAGAGUUAAAAAGCACGUGAAAUUGUUAAAAGGGAAGGGAUUGCAACCAGACUUGCUCGCGGUGUUCCGCCGGUCUUCUGACCGGUCUACUCGCCGCGUUGCAGGCCAGCAUCGUCUGGUGCCGCUGGAUAAGACUUGAGGAAUGUAGCUCCCUCGGGAGUGUUAUAGCCUCUUGUGAUGCAGCGAGCGCCGGGCGAGGUCCGCGCUUCGGCUAGGAUGCUGGCGUAAUGGUCGUAAUCCGCCCCGUCUUGAAACACGAGACCAAAGGCCACAAAGGGGGGGGGGGGGGGGGCGCGCGCCGCCGCGCGCGCCCGCGCGCGCGCCCCGCCCGAG